UACGGCGGAUGCAAGCGUUAUCCGGAAUGAUUGGGCGUAAAGCGUCCGCAGGUGGCUAUGUAAGUCUGCUGUUAAAGAGUGAGGCUCAACCUCAUAAGAGCAGUGGAAACUACAUGGCUAGAGUGCGUUCGGGGCAGAGGGAAUUCCUGGUGUAGCGGUGAAAUGCGUAGAGAUCAGGAAGAACACCGGUGGCGAAAGCGCUCUGCUAGGCCGCAACUGACACUCAUGGACGAAAGCUAGGGGAGCGAAUGGG
rnacentral:rRNA from 1 species